rnacentral:rRNA from 1 species
CCUACGUGGAGCAGCAGUGGGGAAUAUUGCGCAAUGGGCGAAAGCCUGACGCAGCGACGCCGCGUGAGGGAUGAAGGUCUUCGGAUCGUAAACCUCUGUCAGCAGGGAAGAACGGUCACUGUGCUAAUCAGCAGUGAAUUGACGGUACCUGCAAAGGAAGCACCGGCUAACUCCGUGCCAGCAGCCGCGGUAAUACGGAGGGUGCGAGCGUUAAUCGGAAUUACUGGGCGUAAAGCGCUCGUAGGCGGUAUGUCAAGUCAAGGGUGAAAUCCCCGCGCGCAACGUGGGAACUGCCUUUGAAACUGGCAAACUGGAGUGUGUGAGAGGAUAGUGGAAUUCCAGGUGUAGGAGUGAAAUCCGUAGAUAUCUGGAGGAACAUCAGUGGCGAAGGCGACUAUCUGGCACAUAACUGACGCUGAGGAGCGAAAGCGUGGGUAGCAAACAGGAUUAGAUACCCCAGUAGUC